AUAGCAGCUUCUUUUAAUUUUAAAUUGAGAUUUAUAAAAGAGAACAUUUUCUGAGGACUCUUCAAUUCUGCUGUCUUUAAAGAAAUUCCUUCUCAAAAGAGUUAAAUUAAUCAACAUUCAAGCCAAGACAAGGAAAAGUGGCACUGGAUGUGGAAGAGAGCCUGAGGGGCAGCUCCAUUUCCUAUUCAGCUUUACACCUUUGCAGAUGGGUGAGACUUGAAUUGCUGCCUAAAGCCUUGGGCCAGGUCACAUCUCUUGGGCUGCACUCAUCUGAACAGACCUUGCCAAGAGAACAUAUGCCAGAGCAGCAGUUGGCUGAGUGGUCCUCACCAGUGGAGGAGUGAGUGGAUUACCAGAAGGGCUCUGCUGUGGCUCCCAGUUAGUGAGGAGUGAUGUGGCUGGGACGCACUGGCCUGGCCAAAAGAGCAUUCUUUCACCUCUAGCCAAUUCUCAUCAUUCUCCACAGAAUGUGCCAUGUUGGCUAAAGCC